CAGAAGAACUUCUAAGUAGCCGCCGCAGGAAGAAAAAUUGGAAACAUCUGAUCUUGCGACACUGAAGCAUCUGAGCAGUGUGGAGGAACACAGAGCUCCAGGGUGAGAGGAUUCCUGCUGAGCUGGACUGGGGGUGCACAGACCUGCUGCCUGGGCAGCAAUGCAGCACUGCAUUUUCCUUGUAUGACUGCAUUUGUUCGUGUACUUGUGCUCCUGACAUUGUCUAGGCAGCCUGCUGGGAGGAGUCACUGCCCAGCAGGAAACAAACAGAUUGUGGUAUCUGUGCCCAUCUGGGUGCUGCCUAGAGCUUUCUGUAUCAUCCUCUGGGGUUUUUUGCUGUUUUUCUAAAAAUACAAAAUGACAUCCUAUUGCACCACCACAUCCUGCUCUGCCUUUGCCCUGGGCAGCACUGACUCUGCUCAAGGGGGAAGCAGGCAGCAGAGCUGUUUGGGGUUUCUGUGGUCUGCAGCAGCCUCAGUUAUGUACCCAGACCCCUCUGUGCUAUGCUGUGCAUGGAGAACAAAAAGAGUCCAAACAGAAAACAGCAAGACCAAAAAGGAUAUAAUCAUGCUGGCAAACUUUCAUGGACUUCUAAUAGGCCUUAAGGUAUGUUCUGCUAUAUAUAAAUGUUAAGACAUCAUCAUUCAGCUUUUUAGCCUAACCAGCCAUAGAAAGAUGAACAAAAGUGAAUCAAAGGGAGUGACCAAAAUUAAGACCACGCUAAUUUUUCAGUUGUGUUGUUCAGAAAGAAACACAAAAGUGCAGGGCCUGAUUGGUUCAUGUGACCUCAUGAUAAAAAAAUUAGACUAAGAGCUGGCUUUAGACACAGUGACAUUAAAUGCAUUUGCUUGUAAGAUUUUUAUUGAUGUUGCAAAGGCUAAAAGAGCAGGCUCCCUCUGACACUAAAUUGACAGUCUUUUCUGUGGAUCCAGCCUGCAUUUGAAUGUGAUUUUCUGAUUUUGGUAACCUUUAUGCCUAACAGGUUAUUUAUUGGCACUUCAUAAUCCUAUGUCAGGCAUUAGAGGUCUCAUGUUAAUGUACAGAAUCAUACCAGAUAUGCAUUUCUUUGAUGAAGUACCUGUAUUAUUCUUUCUGUCACUUCUUGUAUUUCAUACAAAGAUUUUUCACCAUGCCUCAGACAGCCCUGAAUUACAUUGGACCACCACCUGGAGCAGGUUAGGGAACAACAAACAUCACAAAAAAACACAGCAAGAAGGAGGAAAGAGCCUGUGUAUUAACAUUUGCACUGCAAAAAUAUAAAAAUUUUAGCUUAAAAUAUUCCACUAAUUCUCCAACUAACUACCCACUCUCUCAUUGUUUCUGUUUCUUGCAAAGCAAAUGCAAACUGUUAAAUCAGAUGCCUUCCAUCAGAUAGUCCCCCAAACAAAAAGCCAUGGCCACACUAAACACUAUCUGAGCCCACACAGCGCAGGGCAGAGGCGGGCGUGGAGGAAGUGCUGGUGCUUCCAUCAGUGGCUCCAGCCUCUGAAACCAUAUUUUUAUUCUGGAUCUGGGUGGAGGCUGCUGCUGUGCUUAUUUACAGGAGGGGACUUAAUUGUCCUUAAAUUACAUGAAAUUAAAGAUGGCAGUUAUACCCUUCACCUUCAAUGAGGUUUUAAUUAGAUCCAUCCCACCAGCCAGUCCAUCUGUGCAUAUCCAUUUUGGCAUAUUACUAAUGUGUUUAAUGGAAAUAAACAAAGCCAUGUGUUUUAUGUUAAAACAAAGAACACGACAUCUUGGUCACAUAGCAAUUAAUAAUUUCAGUGGAAUUUUAUUUCAGCCCAGUAUUAUGUUAUGGGUCAUACACAAAAUCACAAGAUACUCAUUUCCUAUGUGUCCAAGACAUGUCCAGUACAUGAGAUGCCCUAGUAUUAAUUUAACCAGUCAUUUAUUCAGAUAUUAUUAAAAAAAAAAUUGGUUUGGGAUGCUUCUGGUAGUAAAAGUACUAAGAGACUUUUUCACAUCUUUCACUUGAAUUCAUUUGAAGCAAUUUAUUGCUACUAUCAUAUAACAUACCCCCUAUAUUUAUAUUUAUAUAUAUAUAUAAAGUUGCACAACUUAUAGUAAAUUAUUACAUGUCUAAAAGUAAUCUGUAUCUCAAAGAUUUGUUACUGAGCACAAAAAAGAAUAUGAGACACUUUGUUAAAAGUCUAAAUAUACUCAGCUGACUUAGCAAACAUGUGACUACCACACCACUGCCCAGAAAUUUCUUGUAAAGUAUAAGGUAGGAAGCCAAAAAGGAAGCAUAAUGCAAUAAGUUCUUUAAAGUUAUAAUGGAACAUAUGAGAAAGAGAGCACAAUGCAAUAUGACUUACUCUUUAACUAGUCUAACCAGAAAAAAAUAAUUACAGUCAGCUCUCCAUUUAUACUGAGUGGAUUAUCAAAUUUGGAAAUAAAUUAGGCUAAGGAUGCACAACAGCUGCCUUGUCUCCAAACAGGCCAAUUUAAGCUGGCAGGGCUUAUUAACUGAGGCACAGCACCAUCCAGGCUUGUCACUGCUGCUUCCAGCCCUGAGCUGGUGCUGGGCAGUUCGGGGGAAAGCACUUGGGAAAAGCUGGGAGCCUGGCACUGACACCUUCAGUCCUGCAGAAGGCACAGUCCCAGUCACACCACGGUCCUUCCUGUCCUGUCACAUGGCCAGACCUGACUGGCUGGUUACCAAGGGAUGUUCCUGGCCAUCCUCAAACAGGAACAAGACUGUCCUGUGUAAAAUCCCAAUUUCAGGUUUGAAGAUGCACCAGUUUCUGUGGAACUACAGUAAUAAUGGAAGAUUUUAUAUCAUUUUGCCAAGAGAUUUGUUUAAAAGACAAAUCUUUAAAUUCCAGUUGAAUUCAAACUUUCUUAUUUCUUUUAAAAUGAAUUAUUCUCCCAAUUAUGAGAUUUUUUGGCUACUGUCAGUCUUUUGCUGGAAGGAAGUAUCAUCUUUUCUUAGUAGCAGGACAAUUAGUUUAUGUAAUAAAUUACUUCAUACUCAAUGCUCAAUUAUUUAUUGAUUUUACUUGAUACUAUGAUCUCUUGCUAGUUUUAUAAGCAGUAUGGAUCAGUUUAAUUGUAGCCAUUCUGAGUUUUUUUCCCUAAAGUUUUCACACUCUAGGAGCUAUUUUUCUUAACACAAUCGAGUCAUCUGUAGGUUUUGGAAUACAUACAUACAAGUGAAUUGAGCUGCUCCCUGGCAGUGAUCUCCAGCUCAGUUCAUACUUCCAUGGCAGGUCUUCUGAGCAGUCAGGUGGCUGAUUGUGAGUACUGUAUCUACUAUUUCCCUGUUCUCUUCCCAGAUGUUCAGUGUUCCUAGAAUGGCUGUAAGAGUGCUUUUCAUUAGCAUGGCUCUUUGUAGUAGGUGAGUAUAUUGCAUUCAGUGCCUGGAUAUAGAACACGGAAACUCAGAAAACCCAGAAACUGUGUUUUCUUGGGUCAAAGAAUGAGACACCUCUACCCAAAGGACUGCCCAUGCACAAGGUAUCUAACUUCUUUUUCUAAUACUGCUAAUGUUGUAUAAAUCAGCUGUUGAAAUGUUUGGUAGUUUUACUGUGGGUUAUUUUAAUUGUUUUAGAAACAUUAUUUGGAGUUACCAAAACUGAAGAAUAAUUCUUGAGACCAAAUAAAACCAAGUGAUUGGGAAAUUAAUUUAAAUUACUAAUAGGCAAAUUCAAAACCACCUGGACUGAAUUGAUAAAGCUCAAUAAAAACAUUUUGUUCACUAUAAAUAAGCAAUCUGCCAAGUUUAUAGCUGUGUAGGAAAUGAUGCAACAAAGAAUGACAACUAGUAAAAAGCAUCACCUUUCAGUAAGUUAAUGAAGUGCUUUUUGUUUUAUUUAAAUAAAACUAGUAGAACCUGUUCUGGAAAUAACUAUCCUGAACUUUAUAAUGACAACAGGCUUCCACUCUUGAACCUCAGACUAAACAAAGACAUCAAAAGGAAGAAUACAAAACCUUCCAGGUUAUUGCACUGAUGUGAAAUAAAACCACAAACCACCUUGAUGCUUUCCUGGUGAAGGAAAUACUUUAACUCAAUGGGCACACUGGAGCAACAAAAGCUACUGCUGACAAGAAUGGAGCAACUUCCCUACAAGAUCUAUAACCAAGGACUUUUGGAGAAGCUAAGGCAUCUAAAAGCAAUGGACACGCUUCAAAAGCAUGUACAUAAUCAAAUACAGAUCAAGCUGUGCUUA